AGACAACUAAGUGGCCAAGAGAAAGAGAAGCCAAGGAAGAAACCAGAGAAAAGCAGUUGGAGAAGCAAGAAGGCAACCAGAAGUGGCCUUGGUACAGCUGUGAUGGGGAGACAAUGACGAAACAGCAGGAACUGGCACUGAGAGUUAUUGGUGUAGCUUGGGCUCUCCCCUCAUCAUCCUCUCCAGCUGGGAGUCAUGUGACAGAAGCAAGAAGCCUGUCACAGCGCACAUGUAAAAGAGCAAACUCCAGACACACACGUCUUAUCUGUGCUGACGGCCCACCUUGGUGACUGGAAAUGACACCAUCCAAUUUUUUCUGGCCGCAAUGUUGCACCCCUGAUUUUUUCCUUCAUAUGACAGACUUCACAGCAAAUACUCCUACUGAGUCCAAACAACCGCUACGAUUGAGAACAAGCAUGAAUCCGCCACCCACCUUCUCCUGGAAAUAAGGUUAUUGGGUUGCUGAACUCCCAUGAACCAAAAAGAAAACACUGAAUGGUAUCCAAACCAGCCUGGAAAGGACAGCGAGAAAAGCCAGAACCAAGGCUGACCAGCCUGAAUGCUGGUAAAUGUUAUCAAGAAUCUGGAGCAGGAGCCUCAGUCUCCUAUCAAAAGGAGAAGAACCUGAAGAAAACACUUCUCUUCCUUCUCUCUGCCUAGGGGCAGUGACCUUGGAUUCAACCACCAUCAUCCCUUCCAGACACCAGAGGGGGGAGUCCCACAAGGCAGAAGGUGCCCCUGUGACCCAUCCACUUCUCUUCCAUGUUCUUUACCUCCUUGCUCAGGAAGCCAUAAAGUUGAGCUGAGUGGAAGGUGAAUUUCAUUGCAAAGUUUACACAGGCUCUGCUGACAGGUUCAUGAAAACACUACUGAAUAUGUUACAUACCACCAAGGCUCACAGCACAUCCUGUGUUGGAAGUGAUACUUUUCCAUUACCAGUAAACCUCCUUUUGUCCUAGGAGCUCACUGAACAGCUAAAAUCAGGUGAUAUUUUUAUGUGGAACAUGCAACGUAUUAAGUCCUUUUGCUCAGUGACCCAAAAAGGAACUAAACGGUACCCAGACUAGAAAUCAAUGUCAAAUUAUUCAAAUAAAUUCCACUUAAAGAAUGGUGGUUUGGAAAGCGCUCAGUCAGAAAGAAUUCUCCCAAGAUUAGUUUACUGUGAAGUAGAAGGGAAGAACGUUUUAACUUUGGUUGGAAAUCUGAUGACAUUACAUAGAAGGUGAUGAAACAUCCUCUAAGAAACGGUUCUGAUCCAUUGUAUGGCACCCCCCUCUCACAUUCCCCCAUUUUACCCACUAAAGAAGUUCUUUUACAAGAGGCUAAGGAAACCAAGCAAUAUAAGAUCUAAUCAAAACUGAGUGCUGGAAAUGUGUGGGGAGAAAUCCAUAAUUAAACUGAGCAAUUAACUCCAGAAAGUUAACUGGGGCCAACUCUGACACUGCUAUAAAGUUAUAAAAUCUCCAGCAUCUCAUUUCUUUGUCCCUCUACCCAAUUUCCCCUCAAAGGUAAGCCUCUCUUUCUCUCUCCUCUCUUCUUCAUAUUUAAUAAAACUGUUUGCCAGAAAGGAAAGAA
ensembl:lncRNA LINC02412 long intergenic non-protein coding RNA 2412